CCGCUCCCGCCCCCGCUCCCGCCCGCGCCCCGGUGCAAAUCUGGGAGCCCCCCCCUUCCUGUCUUUGCAGCACCCCCCCUCUCCCCGUCCCGGGGAUUGCACGGGGCCGGCCAGGAUGCAACAGCCCUAGAACGCAACCCCCCCCCCCAAAACCAGGGGGGGGUGUCAGGUUUGCAACUCAAUUUCCUGCCCCCCCUUACACCCCAAUCUUAGCCAGGCCCUAGGGAUGGUGCGGGGGGGCCACUGGAAGGACAGGACGGCCCCAUGAUCUCCGGCGGCGAGCGCUGAGGGUCCCGGGCGAGCCACCAUGGCCGGCGCCUCCGUCAAAGUGGCCGUGAGGGUUCGGCCUUUCAGCUCCCGGGAAAUCAGCCGGGACGCGAAAUGCGUCAUCCAGAUGCAAGGGAAAACCACCUUUUCCCCAAACAGCACUGCCACA